rnacentral:rRNA from 1 species
AUGGACGCAGAGUUGGAGGCUUUCCGGCAGCAGGUGAUUGAGGGGGUCAGGAAGAACGGCUACUUCGAGGUCGACGAGGAGCCCUCGAAGGGCAGGGAGGAGGCUAAUGAAUACUCCAGGCAAGAAAUGGCUGAGAUCGACUUCAGCGAACUCCGUCUCCUUGAUGCUAGACCAGAUGUGCUACGGCCCAAAGUAUUUCCUUACGUUCCUCCUAAUAUCGAUGACGAGGACGCCGCUCUUCUAGACGAUAUUCCAAGCGAUGAUGAUUUUGAAGAGGACGAUGCUCUGCACAUCAACGAAGAGGACCUUGAAGGGGAAGCCGCCGACGCUCACAAGCUUGUUCCUCCUACUCAGUCCAGCUGA